AGAACGAACGCUGGCGGCAGGCUUAACACAUGCAAGUCGAACGGUUGUAGCAAUACAGCAGUGGCGCACGGGUGAGUAACGCGUGGGAACAUCCCUUUCAGUUCGGAAUAACCUCGGGAAACUGAGGCUAAUACCGGAUAUUCUCUUCGGAGGAAAGAUUUAUCGCUGAAAGAUUGGCCCGCGUCAGAUUAGCUAGUUGGUGGGGUAAUGGCCUACCAAGGCUCCGAUCUGUAGCUGGUCUGAGAGGACGACCAGCCACACUGGAACUGAGACACGGUCCAGACUCCUACGGGAGGCAGCAGUGGGGAAUAUUGGACAAUGGGCGAAAGCCUGAUCCAGCCAUGCCGCGUGAAUGAUGAAGGCCUUAGGUUGUAAAGUUCUUUGCCAGGAAGAUAAUGACGGUACCUGGAGAAUAAGCACCGGCUAACUUCGCGCCAGCAGCCGC
rnacentral:rRNA from 1 species